GCAUAUCAAUAAGCGGAGGGAAAGAAACUAACUAGGAUUCCCUUGGUAACGGCGAGUGAACCGGGAUGAGCUCAAAUUUAAAAUCUGGCUGUCCUCUCAGGCGUCCGAGUUGUAAUCUAUAGAGGCGUUUUCCGCGCCGGACCGCGUCCAAGUCUCUUGGAAUAGAGUAUCAAAGAGGGUGACAAUCCCGUACUUGACGCGACUACCGGUGCUCUGUGAUACGUUCUCUACGAGUCGAGUUGUUUGGGAAUGCAGCUCUAAAUGGGUGGUGAAUUCCAUCUAAGGCUAAAUAUUGGCGAGAGACCGAUAGCGAACAUGUACCGUGAGGGAAAGAUGAAAAGCACUUUGGAAAGAGAGUUAAACAGCACGUGAAAUUGUUAAAAGGGAAACGAUUGAAGUCAGUCGUGUGAAAGGUAUUCAGCCGUCUCUGGCGGUGUAUUUGCCUUUCACGGGUCAACAUCAGUUUGAUCCGGUAGAAAAAGGCGGGAGGAAGGUGGCUCCCUCGGGAGUGUUAUAGCCUCCUGUCAUAUGUGCCGGACCAGACUGAGGAACGCAGCUUGCCUCAAGGCCGGGGUUCGCCCACGUCCCAGAUUAUGAUGUUGACAUAAUGGCUUUAAACGACCCGUCUUGAAACACGGGACC
rnacentral:rRNA from 1 species